rnacentral:rRNA from 1 species
AUCAGACGUGAUUACCCGCUGAACUUAAGCAUAUCACUAAGCGGAGGAAAAGAAACUAACAAGGAUUCCCCUAGUAACGGCGAGUGAACAGGGAUCAGCCCAGCACCGAAGCCUGUGGUCAUUUGGCCAUUAGGCAAUGUGGUGUUUAGGUCGUUCCGCAGGGACACUGCUCCUCUCUAAGUCCAUCAAUGAGUACGGUUGUACUGACAUGGCCCAUGGAGGGUGAAAGGCCCGUGAGAGAGGAGUUUUGUUGUGACAGUGUCCCUCUGGAUUGACCUUGGAGUCGGGUUGUUUGGGAAUGCAGCCCUAAGCGGGUGGUAAACUCCAUCCAAGGCUAAAUACAAGCACGAGUCCGAUAGCGAACAAGUACCGUGAGGGAAAGUUGAAAAGUACUUUGAAGAGAGAGUAAACAGUGCGUGAAACCGCUUAGAGGUAAACGGGUGGAGUUGAACUGCAAUCUCUGAGAAUUCAGCUGGGGAAAUUUGCUUGAGCUUGGUCAUUUGGGCAGGGCCUCGAGGUAUGCUUAGCUGCAUGUCCUGAUCUCACGGUCGGGAUGCGCGUUGCUCUUAUCAAGGGUUGCGCGCCUCGGGUGUCCGGCUGGCUCGUUCGCCAGUGCACUUUCUCAGAGUGAUCAUCACGACCGGCGCUGCUGCUGGGCUGUUUUAGUUAAAUCGGACAUUCAUCGUCCUUGUGGCGUUGGGUGGUCGACACGGCAGGUAACUGAGUGCUCGCUUCGGCUUGCUUUCCGGUGUAUGCUGGCUCUAACGGUUCUGUGCGGUGUGUCGGAGACGGCGGCUUGUGGUGUGUGCAUGUGUGCCUAUCUGGUGGCAUAUUCUGGUUUGGUAGCUGUGUGCUUGUUCAAGCAGGCCCAGUUAUAGCUGGAGUGUGUCAUUGGGUGGUUGCGUGUGUGUCACUUUUCAGGGCCAACAGUCUGUGAUGUCGUGGUAGACUAUCCACCUGACCCGUCUUGAAACACGGACCAAGGAGAGUAACAUGUACGCGAGUCAUUGGGCGUAACGAAACCCACAGGCGCAGUGAAAGUAAAGGUCUGGCUUGUCCAGUCUAAGGUGAGAUCCUGUCGUUGCUCAUGCGCGGUACCCCCAAGCUUGGAGCGAUAGGCGCAUCACCGGCCCGUCCCAUGACGUGGUCACAGUCCUCGGAUUGUGCGCCGUCGGGGCGGGGCAUGAGCGUACAUGUUGAGACCCGAAAGAUGGUGAACUAUGCUUGCGCAGGUUGAAGCCAGAGGAAACUCUGGUGGAGGACCGCAGCGAUU